rnacentral:rRNA from 1 species
GUCGAGCGGCGGACGGGUGAGUAAUGCCUAGGAAAUUGCCCUGAUGUGGGGGAUAACCAUUGGAAACGAUGGCUAAUACCGCAUAAUGCCUACGGGCCAAAGAGGGGGACCUUCGGGCCUCUCGCGUCAGGAUAUGCCUAGGUGGGAUUAGCUAGUUGGUGAGGUAAUGGCUCACCAAGGCGACGAUCCCUAGCUGGUCUGAGAGGAUGAUCAGCCACACUGGAACUGAGACACGGUCCAGACUCCUACGGGAGGCAGCAGUGGGGAAUAUUGCACAAUGGGCGCAAGCCUGAUGCAGCCAUGCCGCGUGUGUGAAGAAGGCCUUCGGGUUGUAAAGCACUUUCAGUCGUGAGGAAGGUGGUGUAGUUAAUAGCUGCAUUAUUUGACGUUAGCGACAGAAGAAGCACCGGCUAACUCCGUGCCAGCAGCCGCGGUAAUACGGAGGGUGCGAGCGUUAAUCGGAAUUACUGGGCGUAAAGCGCAUGCAGGUGGUUUGUUAAGUCAGAUGUGAAAGCCCGGGGCUCAACCUCGGAAUAGCAUUUGAAACUGGCAGACUAGAGUACUGUAGAGGGGGGUAGAAUUUCAGGUGUAGCGGUGAAAUGCGUAGAGAUCUGAAGGAAUACCGGUGGCGAAGGCGGCCCCCUGGACAGAUACUGACACUCAGAUGCGAAAGCGUGGGGAGCAAACAGGAUUAGAUACCCUGGUAGUCCACGCCGUAAACGAUGUCUACUUGGAGGUUGUGGCCUUGAGCCGUGGCUUUCGGAGCUAACGCGUUAAGUAGACCGCCUGGGGAGUACGGUCGCAAGAUUAAAACUCAAAUGAAUUGACGGGGGCCCGCACAAGCGGUGGAGCAUGUGGUUUAAUUCGAUGCAACGCGAAGAACCUUACCUACUCUUGACAUCCAGAGAACUUUUCAGAGAUGAAUUGGUGCCUUCGGGAACUCUGAGACAGGUGCUGCAUGGCUGUCGUCAGCUCGUGUUGUGAAAUGUUGGGUUAAGUCCCGCAACGAGCGCAACCCUUAUCCUUGUUUGCCAGCACUUCGGGUGGGAACUCCAGGGAGACUGCCGGUGAUAAACCGGAGGAAGGUGGGGACGACGUCAAGUCAUCAUGGCCCUUACGAGUAGGGCUACACACGUGCUACAAUGGCGCAUACAGAGGGCAGCAAGCUAGCGAUAGUGAGCGAAUCCCAAAAAGUGCGUCGUAGUCCGGAUUGGAGUCUGCAACUCGACUCCAUGAAGUCGGAAUCGCUAGUAAUCGUGGAUCAGAAUGCCACGGUGAAUACGUUCCCGGGCCUUGUACACACCGCCCGUCACACCAUGGGAGUGGGCUGCAAAAGAAGUAG